GGGGGCGACCUGGUUUCGACGUGGGUCGCGAAACCCGAAGUGCAUGCCGAGGUGCAGGAUUCCUCGUAAAACUGUCUUGCAACAAAGCUAGUUGCGAACGACGCGAACUACGCCCUAGCCGCCUAAUCCCGGCUAGCCGUUGACUGGAGCCGUGCUUGUGCGUCCAGCGCCUUUCGGGGCAUUCAACGGUCGAGUCUCACAAGCUCGCGGUGGAGUGCGUCCGGCACUUACCGCUAAACAAAACCGGACCCGCCACUUGUCUUCCCUGCCCGUCGGGUAGCAGGUGGUUAAAUCAAAGACGUGUGCUACGCAUGUAGAGCCAAGGGCGGAGGGCUUGCGGACGCGGGUUCGAUUCCCGCCGCCUCCACCA
rnacentral:tmRNA from 1 species